CUUUAUGAUGGCGACCGGCGCACGGGUGCGUAACGCGUAUGCAACCUACCUUUUACAGGGGCAUAACACUGAGAAAUUGGUACUAAUUCCCCAUAAUAUCUGAGACGGCAUUCGUUUUGGGUUGAAAACUCCGGUGGUAAAAGAUGGGCAUGCGUUGUAUUAGCUAGUUGGUGAGGUAACGGCUCACCAAGGCGACGAUACAUAGGGGGACUGAGAGGUUAACCCCCCACAUUGGUACUGAGACACGGACCAAACUCCUACGGAAGGCAGCAG
rnacentral:rRNA from 1 species